rnacentral:rRNA from 1 species
GGGGGCCCGCAAGCGGUGGAGCAUGUGGUUCAAUUCGACGCAACGCGAAGAACCUUACCUGGGCUCGAAGCGCAGUGGACCGGGGUAGAAAUAUCCCUUCCCCUUAAAAGGCUGCUGCGGAGGUGCUGCAUGGCUGUCGUCAGCUCGUGUCGUGAGAUGUUGGGUUAAGUCCCGCAACGAGCGCAACCCUUAUCCCUAGUUGCCAUCGGGUCAAGCCGGGCACUCUAGUGAAACCGCUUCGGAUAACGGAGAGGAAGGUGGGGAUGACGUCAAGUCCUCAUGGCCCUUAUGUCCAGGGCUACACACGUGCUACAAUGGCCGGUACAAACCGUCCCAAACCCGCGAGGGGGAGGCAAUCGGAAAAAGCCGGCCUCAGUUCGGAUUGGAGUCUGCAACUCGACUCCAUGAAGCUGGAAUCGCUAGUAAUCGCGGAUCAGAACGCCGCGGUGAAUACGUUCCCGGGCCUUGUACACACC